GCCGGGCUGGCGGGCGGCGAGCAGCCCCUCGCUCGGGCUCAGGGACUCGCCCGCGGCGAGUUCCCAGCCCGCGCCCGAGCC
rnacentral:tRNA from 1 species